rnacentral:tRNA from 1 species
GCCCUCGUAGCUCAGUGGAUAGAGCAUUCGCCUCCUAAGCGAAGGGUCGGACGUUCGAGUCGUCUCGAGGGCG